UAGAUGUAGGACUCCUCUGCCUCCUUGAUAGACACUGGCUUUUCAUAGCGUGAUUUUUCAUACAUCCAGAAGAAACCCAUAACUUAAGUGGUAUAAAAAGGGUGUUCUCCUGGCCGCCUGUCCCGCGCUGCUGAGCGGCGUUAAUGCGGCUCUUAAACAGCUGCUGUGCUUCUCGCUGCAAGUGGCUGCAUUUCGGUGAUAUCACAGAGUGUCACUGCUGCUGCAUUGGAUACUUCUGUUGACAUCUUACCAGGCUCAUGGGUCCUUUAAAUAUGAUAUGAGGGCAAUGGGACUAUUAAGAUUUUGUCAGCACACGUUAUUGUCUCUGCAGAUACAGUAAUAGCUCUUUGAAAACUACAUGUUCAGUGUGUGAAGAUCCUUUCUGAAGAUAAAUGACUUAGGUUUUUGUUAUAAUAGCAAAAGUAACCUAUCUAACUAGAAGCUGGCAUUUUAAUUGUCAAAUCUAGGUUCUUGUAAUUAUAAACCUGAAAUCUUGUUUCAUCUGUUGUCAAUAGAAAGGAACAGUUUAGCUGAUGAAUGCUUUUUUUCUUUAAGGCAAUUAAUUUAUACUAACAGCAAAUAUGAUGCAUCAUUCUUCACUCUGAUAUGUGUUAAAAUGGCUAAAGUAGAAGCUCUAAGGAAUGCAGCUUUUGUUGGGAUGAUGACUAACCUUUAUCAUUGUAAUUCAUUCAGACCAGAGCAUGAUGUUAGCUUUUUUUAAACCUGCUUGCUACAAGUAGCUAUUCUUUAACAACAUAGCUUUCAGCUGGUUUUGUCUCAUGAGUACAGACGGUGAAUUUUUGUUCCAUCAGUUUCUAUCCUUAGCCUACAUUUUGGCAGGUCUUUGUUGUAAGUGUGUGUCUCGCAUAUUUAUCUCACUCUUUCACUGAAGGCAUUUAAAAUUUUGGCUUGGCUUAUGGAUGUGUGCUCUUGGUGUUAGUGUAAUGUCCAUACAUCUAAUUGAUAAGUUAUAAUGCAUUUUUUUGUAGCUUUAACCAGUCAUUUAAAAUAAAUAAGAUCAUAAUGA